rnacentral:misc_RNA from 1 species
CGAGGAUGUUUGUUCUUGUCCUCAUUUUGCCACUGCGAAGUAGUGUUUUCUAAUUUUCAUUGAGUGCUCGGGGAGAAUUAUGCCUGAAUUGGCUGAUUUUUGGACUUAUUGAAGUAGAAUGGCUGAAUAAUCUAAGAGCUGGUCUAGCUUUUUUAAAUCUGUGCUGCAUCACUGAUAUGAUGGUUAAGGAAAAUUUGCUGCAGAGAG